GACGGAGGGGGCAAGCGUUGUCCGGACUCACUGGGCGUAAAGGGUGCGUAGGCGGCCGAGCGCGUCCGCGCUGAAAUCACACGGCUUAACCGUGUGGCGCGUGCGGAUACGGCUUGGCUCGAGGUACGGAGAGGGUGGGGGAACUCCUGGUGUAGUGGUGAAAUGCGUAGAGAUCAGGAAGAACACCCGUGGCGCAAGCGCCCACCUGGCCGUAACCUGACGCUGCGGCACGAAAGCGUGGGGAGCGAACCGG
rnacentral:rRNA from 1 species